AGAGUUUGAUCCUGGCUCAGGACGAACGCUGGCGGCGUGCCUAACACAUGCAAGUCGAGCGAGGACAGAGAAGUAGCAAUACGACUUUGUUCUAGCGGCGGACGGGUGAGUAACGCGUGAGCAACCUGUCCCGAACAGGGGGAUAACGAGCCGAAAGGCUCACUAAUACCGCAUGAGACCACAACGUCACAUGACGAAGGGGUCAAAGGAGAAAUCCGGUUCGGGGUGGGCUCGCGUCUGAUUAGCUAGUUGGUGGGGUAACGGCCUACCAAGGCGACGAUCAGUAGCCGACCUGAGAGGGUGAUCGGCCACAUUGGAACUGAGAGACGGUCCAAACUCCUACGGGAGGCAGCAGUGGGGAAUAUUGGGCAAUGGGCGAAAGCCUGACCCAGCAACGCCGCGUGAAGGAAGAAGGUCUUCGGAUCGUAAACUUCUAUCCCCGGUGAAGAUAAUGACGGUAACCGGGAAGGAAGCCCCGGCUAACUACGUGCCAGCAGCCGCGGUAAUACGUAGGGGGCAAGCGUUGUCCGGAAUGAUUGGGCGUAAAGGGCGCGUAGGCGGCUCGGUAAGUCUGGAGUGAAAUUCCUGCUUUCAAGGUGGGAACUGCUUUGGAUACUGUCGGGCUUGAGUGCAGGAGAGGUAAGUGGAAUUCCCGGUGUAGCGGUGAAAUGCGUAGAGAUCGGGAGGAACACCAGUGGCGAAGGCGACUUACUGGACUGUAACUGACGCUGAGGCGCGAAAGUGUGGGGAGCAAACAGGAUUAGAUACCCUGGUAGUCCACACUGUAAACGAUGAAUGCUAGUGUAGGGGUAUCGACCCCUUCUGGUGCCGGAGUCAACACAAUAGCAUUCGCUGGGGGAGUACGGCCGCAGUGAAACUCAAAGAUGACG
rnacentral:rRNA from 1 species